ACCUCCUCCACUGUGGGAACCUUGUUCCCUGCAGCCUGCAAGGCUCUCCACAGGGCAGAGUCU
rnacentral:ncRNA from 2 species